rnacentral:tRNA from 1 species
GUGAGUUUAGCUGAGUGAUAGAGCAUGUGCUUAGCAUGCACGAGGUCCAGGGUUCAAUCCCCAGUACAUCCA